rnacentral:tRNA from 1 species
AAGAAGUUAGUCUAAAAAAAGACCAUUGAUUUCGACUCAAUAAAUUGUUAUAAUAUAACAACCUCUUU